AGUGAACGCUGGCGGUAGGCCUAACACAUGCAAGUCGAACGGCAGCACAGUAAGAGCUUGCUCUUACGGGUGGCGAGUGGCGGACGGGUGAGGAAUACAUCGGAAUCUACUUUUUCGUGGGGGAUAACGUAGGGAAACUUACGCUAAUACCGCAUACGACCUACGGGUGAAAGCAGGGGAUCUUCGGACCUUGCGCGAUUGAAUGAGCCGAUGUCGGAUUAGCUAGUUGGCGGGGUAAAGGCCCACCAAGGCGACGAUCCGUAGCUGGUCUGAGAGGAUGAUCAGCCAGACUGGAACUGAGACACGGCCCAGACUCCUACGGGAGGCAGCAGUGGGGAAUAUUGGACAAGGGGCGCAAGCCUGAUCCAGCCAUACCGCGUGGGUGAAGAAGGCCUUCGGGUUGUAAAGCCCUUUUGUUGGGAAAGAAAAGCAGCAGGUUAAUACCCCGCUGUUCUGACGGUACCCAAAGAAUAAGCACCGGCUAACUUCGUG
rnacentral:rRNA from 1 species